GGGGGGGGGGGGGGGGGGGGGGGGGGGGGGGGGGGGGGGGGGGGGGGGGGGGGGGGGGGGGGGGGGGGGGUGCCCUCCCUGUCGUCGGGGCUGGGCUCCCGGCCCCUGGGGCCGCUAGGGCCCUUGGCCUUUAGGCCGUGAGUUGGGCUGCCUGACUGUAGAGUGUGCUUCCUGUUGCCGUGGGGGAAGGCCGAGCUCCGUGGCUCCCUGGGUGUAGACCGGCCUGUAAGCAGGCUGUGGGUCUGGGAGCCUUUGUGCUCCCUUCAGCUGGCAGCCUGCGUUGGGCGUCCUCGCCCCGUUAGUGGGGUGGGGACCAGAAUUGGAGAGAAGGAGCCUCCGUAAGCCUCAGGGACCAGGGCCGCCCUGUAAGUCGGGGCCGGUGCUCUGGAGUCCCGGGCACUUUGCAGUGCGGGCAGCGCCUUGAGCCCCCUGUAAGCAGGGCUGCAGCCUCUUGUGCGCUGCUUUGCGUGCCCAGCUUCUUUUGCCCAGAGGGCCCGGCUCCCGGCGCGGCGUGGGACUUGGCGGACGUCGAGGCGGAUCACACUGGGCUUUCCUGUCAUCUCGUCCAGAUUCAUCCGAAGAUGUUUAUUUGCAAGGGAUAAUGCCGCAGCAAUCUUUUUCAUAUGCUAAAAUUCAAUUAUAAACGUGGAAUGUGUAGCCUAAUGAUUUGUUGUGUCAGCGUGGAAAUAAUUAUUUUAUUGGUUUUUUAAAAAUGCAUUACCUUCUGCCGUUUAUUUGUUUUCACACGGUUUCAGUUAGUGUCAUGAAGGGGGCAGAAACCAUCAGAGGAAAUGGCACUCUACACUGAAAGAUGAGUCUUCCCGAGUUUUAGUCCAUUCCAGAUCACACUCAGACUAAGUUUAUUAAAACUGCAUCUUCAUCCCUGAUCCUAAUCAGGAGUAUGUUACCCAUAUUAUAAAAUACAAUAAAUUCUGUGAGCUA
rnacentral:lncRNA from 12 species